rnacentral:rRNA from 1 species
CAGCCGCCACGGUAAUACAUAGGGUGCGAGCGUUAAUCGGAUUUACUGGGCGUAAAGCGUGCGUAGGCGGCUUCUUAAGUCGGAUGUGAAAUCCCUGAGCUUAACUUAGGAAUUGCAUUCGAUACUGGGAAGCUAGAGUAUGGGAGAGGAUGGUAGAAUUCCAGGUGUAGCGGUGAAAUGCGUAGAGAUCUGGAGGAAUACCGAUGGCGAAGGCAGCCAUCUGGCCUAAUACUGACGCUGAGGUACGAAAGCAUGGGGAGCAAACAGGAUUAGAUACCCGAGUAGUCCCUGUCUCUUAUAC